GCAACGGGUUGGUCGCAGCUGGGAUUCUGGGGCCCAAUGGACGGUGGACUCGAACACUUUCGCGCACCCCGUCACCUGAUAACAUGAUAAACUGUCCCCGAAAGGGUUACGGCAAGUGAGCGUACAAAGUCGUGAAACUGCAUCCGCAGCAUUUGCUUCUCAUGAACUUGCCCGGCCUGAAAUUCGGAAAUGAAAACGAAGGCAAUGUCAUGAGCAGCGUCCAGGUGUCAUCGGCAAGGAAAUACUUUGGCCAGCAGAGGGCAGCCUUUUCAUUGUGACUGAGCACUUUCAGUCCUGUCUUUACGUCACCUUUACAGCCUGGCUUUAGUUUCCCUGCAUCUUCUCAUUUAUUUAUUGGAACCCCAGAGCCGAGUGCUUUGUGUAGCAUCGAGAACAAACAAGAGGCCAAACUCGGUCUAUUGAAAUUAGAGAGCCAAAGGAGAAUUGGAAACAUGACAAUGACAUGAUCAUCGAGCAAUGUUGACAAAUGGCAUCAUAUCCCCCCAUGAUGAAUACAUAUCAGAUUCAUCCAAUGUUCACGACACUGUUUUGAAGCAAGCUGCGCUGGAACAGUACCGUAUAUUUUGGUCGUGUGCCAUCCAUUCAAUACCUGAAUACUCCCAACUCCUGCUUGAACUCUUUCUAGCAGGAGAAUCACACGCCAAAUGGCAAACAAUCAAUGAAGUGAAACGGUUUCCUUGAUUUUGUUAAUAUAUACAUAUAUAUAUUUUUAUCCUAUGAUGUAAGACCUAAGGACAGGCUGCAAAUGAUAGAAGGGAAGAUAUUUUAGAUCAGGGGUGUCUAAACUUGUUUUGUUGGAGAAAUAGAGAAAUGGAAGGAUGAAAGGGACGAAAGGGCUACUUUUAGAAACACGCUUAGAAAGCCAUUUGAUAUUGUUCGUAUGGUCUAGUUCAUUCCUUCAACUUUCUGUUGAAGGUGUCAAGGAAAAUGUUGAGGAUUUUUUGGGGGGGUGGCCAUCGUCACCUUUUGAAACUAACUUUGUGGCCCAUAUCAAAUGUCAUAUAUAUAUGUACAUAUACACGUUUCAUUCUCUAUUUUCAUUUUCUGUUUGUCCUUUUUUUGUGCCCCCGUUCCGUUUUAGGUGGCAAAGCGAUAUUUCGUUUCUGUUUUUCAAAUUGAAAUACGACACUGGAAAAAAAACAAAACAGUGCAUUGAAUUUUUCUCCAUUUAAUUUUGUGGUUGCACAAAAUAAGAUUGUCUAGAUCCAGAUCCAGACUUUAUUUUUCCUUAAUUAAAAAAAAAAAUUAAAUGUUUCAUAUCUACUCCCAUGGCAGGCCGGAAACCGAGGAAAAAAAUGUUUGGAUCGUUUCAAGGAAGUUAAUGUGCAAAACAUUCUUUGUUUAUUUUUGUCACAAUUUGCAUGGAUUGCUUGUCUUGCCCUUGUUCAUGUUAGGCAUCCCAAAACAUUGUGUUGAACAGGACCUGCGUUUCCCCCCCCCCCCUCCUCUUUUUGUUGUCGUUUUUGUCAUUGCAUGUGUAGCAACGGCUCAUUGUAUUUGGUGCUGCUCCCAGCAUGCAUGAAUUUUUGAAUCGCGCGUGUCAAAACUGAAUCCACACCGUGCUACUCGGUCUGCCUAUUUGGCUCCGUUCGUGUCUUGCCGCUCGGUAGACUUUUGUCAUGCUGGCUCGCGCUGCUAAUGAUGAAGUCAUUUCAACCUGACUCCAACGUUUUAUGUUGAUCUCUCAUUUGAUAUUUAAGACGUGAAAACAGUGGCAAUGACAAAAAAGAGCACCGUCCUCGUGUGUAUGAGCGCAGACUCCCGCAGAUGCGAACGAGUUAGUCGAGAGACCGGAGAGGGAGGCGGCGUGAAUGUCUGUUGACCUGUGGAAACAAAUACGCGUGCAGAUGACCGUUUCUCCUGUCCCAAAAAACGAAUAUAUCAAUUUCCGUCGGUAUAGCGACAGGCUGAUGUGACCAUACUGGCACUCCAAUGAGCAAAUGCAUUUUAAAGUCCAAGCAUUCUGUGCUUUAGCCCCGCCCCCCAAUCCCCUCCACCCCCAAUAAA